UGUAAUUACGGUAAAUUCAAGAUUGCCGCCUAAUUUUAAGCGCUAUUCUGUGCUGUGGGUAGAAAGGAGACAUCGAGGCAGUAAAGCACGAUGACAAGAUUAUUACGAGGACUUUUGAGAAACAGUCGGCGCCCCGACACUACAGAAAACAAAAGAAAAGCUGUGAAAUGGAUGUGUAAAUGGGGACUAUUGAAAAGCAAUAUAACCUGCGCAAGAUGCAAUGGCAAGAUGCAUCUGAAGAAAUCUAGAUGCAGCGAUGGAUUUCGCAGGGUCUGUAAUCGUCAUAAAAACCACCUGCUGUCAGUACGACAUGGAACAAUAUUCUCAAAAUCCCACAUUCCUUUGGCAAAAUGGCUCGAAUUCAUACACAGGUUUGCACAAGGUUUGCGGUUGAAACAACUGGACAUGAUCUGUGAUGGUAUAGCAGCAAGCUCAAGGACAUUGUCCAGAAUGACCCAAAAACUCAGAGAGGUUUGCGUGGCUGCCGUCAAACGCCUCAGGAAGAGAGGGAUGAGGAUUGGAGGUC